AUGUGACGGUACUUUCCUCACAUUAAAUCAUUGGAAGCAUUCCGUUCGCUAAACAAAAUUGAAAGGUUUUAUUUUAAUGGCAUCUCAUUGACUUAAGUGAGCAGAUAUUUAAAUGUAGCGUGCGUCAUAAAUAGAAUUAAACAUAAUACACACUGCCGUUAUUAACUCGCUAUUAAAUUAAUGGUAAUAUAGUCAUCCGACGCUGUAAACAAAGCAACAGAAACUGAAAGAACCUGUUCAUAUAACUGAAGCGAUCACAACAUGUUGAAAAAAUGAAGCGACCGUACUCGCUGUCUGUAUAAUAUCACAAUCAAGUUCAUGAGCAUCGGAAGGUUCAGAGGAUUGUGGGAUGUGUAGGCGGGUGAGAGAUACUGAUGAUGUGUGGAGUGACUGUGGAGGUCAUGAGCACUUGUAGAGAGAAUGCAUUUGUAAGAAGAUUUCUACAAUAAUCCUUUCUUGUGUAUACCUGCCACAUGUCAGAUACAAAAUCAUCAUGUGAGGCAUCCAAAGGUUCUGCUGAAAGGUUUCCUGCAAGAAAUGGUUCUUCUUUGCUGACAGUUACUCAACAGAGUAAUAUCUAGACUGUGGCCAUGUUCGCUUUAACUAUUUUUAUUCUUAUUUCAAUUAUUGUUCCUCUGAACUAUGAUCUUUGUUCUUGUCAAUGUGCUCGGGCUGAAUAUGAGAUAGACUGCCAGUGCUGCCCAAUGUGUGCUGCAGGAAACCAUGUUUAUUGGGACUGCACAGAUGACACCAGCACAACUUGUGUUCCAUGUCCUGAAUUAACUUUUACUGAUGAACCCAAUGGUUUAAAGGAAUGCUUUCCUUGCACUGUAUGUGAUUCAAACCGAGGUUUAAGAGUCAACACAGCCUGCAGUCGGUCAUCAGAUACUGUUUGUGAGCCACUCGAGAAAUUUUACUGCAUUGACAAGAAGAAAAGCAGCUGUACUUCAGCUCUGCAACACUCUGAAUGUAAAGCUGGACAAUAUAUCGAACAAGCAGGCACGAGCUCCACAGAUACUGUAUGUGCAGACUGUACUGGAGACACAUAUUCAGAUGGAUCUUUCUCCUCCUGUUUGCCACAUAAAAAAUGUGAGGACACCGGACUUACUGAAACAAAUCCAGGAACACAUUCAUCUGACACUCAAUGUGGAAAUCCCUCAACUUCUCUACCAAUUAUAAUUACUAGUGUUAUAGCCAUUUUGAUAUUAAUCGUUACGUUAUUGGGUGUUUUGAAAUUUAAACCUUUAUGGAAGAUGAAACGAUACAAAAGCACAAGUGAGUUUUACUUUGUUAAACAUAUUUGCUCUUUAUUUAUUAUGAUUUUUUUAUGACAGUCCAAACUAAAUGUACAGUAGUCUGAAAAAGUGUUUGCGCCUUACGGAUUACCUUUUACAUAUUUGUCAGACUUUAAUGUUUCAGAUCAUCAAACAAAUUUAAAUAUUUGUCAAAGAUAAACACAUCAUGCAGUUUUUAAAUGAGAACAAAAUAAAUGGGAAAACAAAAUACACAUUUGCAUAGCCCAGUGUGAAAAAUUGUUUGUGCCCUUAAACCUAACUGGUUGUGCUACCCUUAGCAGCAACAAUUGCAAUCUAGCAUUUUUGGUAACUUACAAUUAAUCUGCUACAGCGCUGUGGAGGGAUUUUCCCCACUCAUCUUUUAGAAUUGUUAUAAUUUAGCCACAUUGGAGAGUUUUUAAGUAUGAAUUUCCUUUUUAAUGUCAUGCCAAAGCCUCUUAGCAUCGGACACUUUUUCAGCCCACUGCACAUUAGCAUUAGCUCUUACAUUAAAUAUUUAAUUGUCAAGUAACUGGAACCCUUUUGACAAUCAUACACUAGAUGUUGCUGCAAAAAUGACGGUGACAUAAAUUGUUUUAGUCAUUAAUAUAUAUUUUGAAUGUUUUAAAAGAAGUGACAUUUGCUCACCAAGGCUACAUAUAUUUAAUAAAAAUACAUGUGAUCAAUAAUAUUGUACUUUAAGGAGCUUAUUUUUAUGGUUAUAUUUUUUGUUUUUUCAUUUUUUUCUUGUGAAAGCAAAGCUGCAUUCAUCAUUUCUUUAGACUUCAGUGUCACAUGGUACUUCAAAAAGCAGUAUGCUGAUGUGCAGAUCAUGAAAGUCUGUGUCUCAUUCGGCUGCUCUUAUUAAGGGUCUCAACAGUAGAAUUAUCAGCUCUUGCAGUGAUGGGACAGUGACACUGCCAAUUUACUGUAUACAGUUUUUCUAAAAUUCAAGUCUUUGAACUGUGGGGGAAACAAGAUUAAAGAACACAGAAAGGCAAACAUUUUUUACAAUCAUUGUUGCUGUUUGCAUUUUGUGAAUAGAAACAAUACCAUUCAUAGGUUUGUGGUAAGUAAAAUAGAAAGAAAAUCAUGCAAAUCAAAAAUGUAUUGCACUGAAGCUGCAGUAAAAACUUAAAAAAAGACUAAUAUAUUGUUGCAAAAUAUUUUGUUUUAAAUAAAUCCUGUUCUUUUGAAUAUACAAAAAUAUUAACUAGCAAAAGCUGAUUUAAAACUAAUCAUAAUAUGAAUUAUUUUUACAGCACCAAUAAUAUUUGAAUGAUUUCUUAAGAAUCAUGUAACACUGAAAUUUUGAAUUUUUUGAUUAUUUUAAAUCAUUGUUGUUUUAUUGUUUUUCUAUAAGCAUUUGUGAGCAUAAGAGUCUUCUUUAAUAACAUUACUCCAACAUUUUGACCUUUAGUGGAUAUUAUUAUUACAUUAGUAAUACUUAUUUUUUUUCCCUUCUGUUCAUACAGGGAGACAGGAAACUUCCGUGGAUUUAAAUUAAACUGACUGUUUAAAGGUUGAUAGUGGAAGUAAAUCUGACCUUCUGACUGGUGGUGUCCAAACAAAAAGUUUCUACCAACCGAGCACAGAGUGCAAUAACUCAUGUACCCCCAGUGCUGGGAAACACACACACACACACUACAGCCAAUUUAGUUCAUCCAAUUCACCUAUGCCGGAUGUCUUUGAACUAUGGGGGAAACUGCAGCACAUGGAGAAAACCCACACUAGGGGAGAACAUGCAAACUAUACAGAAAAGUCAUCUGGUCCAGCUAGUACUUGAACCAGCGAUCUUCUUGCUGCGAGCUGACUGCUAACCACUGAGGAACAAUGCCGCUAUGUUCCACAUUAUCUAAAGAAUAUUUUAUUAAGAAAGUUACUUUGAUGUUAUAAAUUUUAUGGUUUCAAUAUGUUAAACAAUAAAGCACUAAUCUCAUUUAUUUAUAAAGCACUGUGUGUAGAUCUGUGUGGGGAAACAGUAAUUACAAGCUGAAGGAUCUCAUAACACUACAUACAGUACUCCCAAGUAAUACUGCAUGUAUAGGUAUAAUUUUGUACAAAACUUUUUAGAUGAGCACUUUUUUUGCUUUAGCAAUCUAAAUAUUUUUAUAUUGACUUCUUGAAUGCAUACACUAUACUGAAGAAAUUACAUGGAAGCAAUGAAAAUGACAAAUGAUUUUAGAACUUUAAUUACAGUACAUUCUGUUAACUUCUCUAACAGUGUCAGUAUUCUACAUCAGUUUAUUCUGAUUGUAUUUGCAACUAGAAUUAGUUUUUUGUAUUUGCUCAAUAAAACCAUUUUCUUGUUUUGCAUUUAGAGUUUGUAUAUAAUGAAA